GGAAAAGAAACAUCGCUUUCAGGACCGUGUUAGCGUGACACCGAUUGCGCUUAAGGACAAUACGAUGGGGAAGCAGCACCUGCAGCUACUUCCUGCUCACUGUCAGUACAGAGAGACAGACAGAGAGAGAGACAGAGGAAGAAAAGAAAAAAAAGAGACGAGACUGAGUGGAGAGAGAAGAGAGGAGGGCCUGGACACUCAACAGUAACUGUUUGUGUUUUCUGUGUUUGUUAGU